CAGACAUGGAACACCAUAUAUUUAUUGGCAAAGCUGUCUCCAUUUAUUUGGCGUCUAUUUCUUAUUUGCCCAAAUAACAUUC
rnacentral:snoRNA from 1 species